rnacentral:lncRNA from 1 species
AAAUAUUAUACAACAUUAAUAUAAUAUAAUGUUAACAUAAUACAAUCAAAAGCAACUUACCAAACAUUAAAUAAUACAAUGUAAUAUAAUAUGUCAAACUCACAUUUAAUAUAAUAUAAUGUAAUAAACACACGGUGAUGUCACCACUGAUAUAAACGCACCUUAUCACUAAAUUGUUGAAAAGUACAACUUAUUUAUUUCCAUUAACAAGUACACAAGCUAACUUAACCAUAUGAAGAGGCAGAAAGGCGCGGACUAAGAAGCACUUCAAGUGGAGUAGCUUUAGCAAUGGAUAGGCCCAUUGACUCUCCCAUGUCAACCGGUUCACCUGAUGGGGUUGUAAAAUCAAACCCACGCACUAAUGAAGCAAGCAUUAGUGGCAUAACUUGAAGGCCAUAUGACACUGCAGGACACAUCCUUCUUCCGCUGCCAAAUGGUAUCAAUUCAAAAUCUUGUCCCCCAACAUCAAUAUCCUUAUGCCUAGUAAGAAAUCUUUCUGGCUGAAAUUGACAUGGCUCCUCGAUUCAUUCACUGGCCUUUCAGUGCCAACCUGAAUGUCUAUUUCAUCUCGUGCCUUCUUCAGAACCUCGGGAUUGUUGAGAAGUAAAGCAAUAGCCCAUGUCAAUGUAACUACUGUGGUCUGUGUACCCGCUACGAUUAGACUCUGCAAAUUAAAAGCAGUAAGAAAUCUGUGACAUUCGUAUAACAAUACAACACAAACGCACCACAAGCUUUUCAUGAGGAUAUAUUAUACCAAGCAGAUUGCUUUAAUGACAGUGUCAGCAUCGCGAUCAGGAAGCUGCUCUGCAUUAUCAUCAAGUAGGGACAACAACACAUAUAUGAAAUCCUCGUCGCCCUUAACUUCACCAGAAACUCUUUUCAUCUUGUGCUCAUCCAACCAUUCUUGCAAAAUAAUGUCAAAAUAUUUAGCUGUCUUGCUCAUUAAUCUCUCAUAUCCACCGAUAUCUAACCGUCUCAGAAAGGGCAACGCAUCGGACACCACGAACUGACCAAACAAGGCAGCGAUCUUUGUUAUUUGCUGUUGCCAAUCAUUAGCCUCUUCUGAUUGUGAAGUGUGAAGUUUUCCGGCAAUUAUUCUCAAAAGAAUGUCAAGUACUGUGCCCUCGAUCCAAUGGAUCAUCUCCACCGGAACUACUUUACGUGAACUGCUGCUACUUAUGCAAUUCUUGUAUAACCUCUGGAUUGAAGCCUUCACUUCCGAUUCACGUACGUGUUUGAGCUUCUCAAGGCGACGAUUUGACAGAAGCUCAAUUGUCACUAUCUUACGUGACUGACGCCAGUAGUUGCCAUAUGGUGCGAAGCCUAUGACCGAAAAGUUGUACCCCAUAAGCUCUACGGCCAUUCUUUUGGGGCGACUUGCAAAAGCUUUGUCAUUUGUGGUAAAACACUCCUUAGCAAUUUCCCAGUUGCUCACCACUAAAGCUUGUUUCACCCCCAACUUCAUAGUGAAUAUUGUUCCAUAUUUGUCAGCCAGGUUGCCCAAAACUCUGUGAGCUGGCUCUGGCCCUCGUAAGAGAUGUAGGUGGCCUAUCAAAGGCCAUGCUCCCCCUGCUACCGGUGCUUGUUGAGAUUGCUUAUUCUUGCGUAUCCUUUUUUGCCCAUUUCUUGAAAUCAAGUGGAAAAUUGAGAGGAAUAUCACUAAGGCUGAAAUUGCUACAGCAGCAGUCGAUUCUGUUGAAAGAUUAUUCAUGGCCAUCCCUUUUGCAACCGACUCGGGGACUCUGAAUGAAGAGUUUAGUUCAGAGCAAUGUCUAUACAGUAUAUAGAUAACAUUUAAGUGUGCUUUGUCAAUGCCGGGCAAAGGAAAAUGAAGAAAGAAGACAAAAGAGGAAGAAUUAAAAAAAAUUGAGAGGAAAAUAUGUCAAGGGUAGGUACCGGAUGUUUAAAAAAGAAAAAAAUAAAUUCAAAGCUCAAAAUUUCAAAGUUUGAAAACUCGAAAUUUGCAGUUGUAUUGGUUGAAGAUUAAAGCCACCUUUUUGACUUGGUAAACUUCAUUUGCUUUAAAAAUUUGCCACAGAAUAUAAAACAUGCCUUAUUUUAAUAUGGACAAUUAUAUGGGAUGACAAAAGUACCUGGACUUGAAUAUUAUGGGUCGGGAAGCGUAAACCAAACUACGGUGUCAGCAACACAAAUAAAAAAUUAUCUUUUGUCCAUCAAUUAUAUUGUUUUAUCACUUGGGUCCAUUUACUUUUUGUCAUUACGAAAGUUCUUGGAAUCUCUUAUUUGUGUUUCUUAAUAUAGACGUAUGAUUGGAGAGAUUUGGCUUUGUGACUGAAUCUAGAUAUGAGUUUUUUUUUUUUUUUUUUUUUUUCAAAAAAGUAUGCAGUCAAAAUUAUUGAGAGAGUAGGAAAGAUAAAAUAUUCAGUUUUUGUUUAAUUGCGUUAUGAUAUUCUUCCAAAUUAAUAAUUCAAUUUCAAUAUUCUUUUUUACUCAUGCAGCAAUGUCAACUUCAGAAGAAAUGAUGAUUGGAUUAGGCGUGGUUGUCAAAAAUAUUUUAUCUUUCUGAUUAGCUUUGUGUGAAAACAGAAUGGUUUGCGAAAAUGUUUUAUCUUUCUGAUUUCCAAAAAUAUUAUUAUUGAAAAAAGAAGAAUUGUUUUUAUUUAAUAUAAAUUUGAUUUAUUAUAUUUAUUUUUUUUCUGUGGCAGACCUUCAAGCGUCGGAUGGCAAAUGCUGCCCCAAAGUAUACAAUUACAAACGGCAAUUGUGUGGCAUUACGGGAAAGAAGAUUCAUUUUUUCAGUUCUUCCAUAUUUUUGUAAAAUCGUGUCAUGAUAAAUUUUGCGGAUGUAUUGGUCAAAUCAUACAGUUAGACUAGACUAGAGUUGUUUAUUGGUAUCUGCGCAUCCCCGCUACCACGAUGGUUAGGAAUACCAGUUACAAUUAGACAUUUGAUUUUUAUCAUAUCUUAUAACACAAAUAUUAUUUAAUUAUUCCGUCUUCUCACUUCCAAGUUACUAAAAAUUCAUGAUGUUAAGUUUGCAAUUAAAAAUUAAUUAAUAUGCCUUUUGUUUGAUGUAAUUUGACACAAUUUUUUUUUUUUAAAUUUUGGGUUGUGAAUGGAUGAAAAGGACAAGGCCAUCAAGAGGUUCCUUGAGAGGAACAUUGUUGAGCAAGAGACGUGCAGGAUGCCUGCAUCUAUGAUAGUAAAUAUCUACUACACAUGUUAUUAUUUCUCUUAUUUUGUAAUUAAUUAUGUAUUGUUUGAAUGGGAAAUAAUGGGAAUCUUUUGAAUUCGAUGCAGACUAUGUUCUGCUUAAGUUGUAUGCAAAGAUGCCGUACUGUGUCUCCUGUGCAAUUCACUCGCAUGUGGUGAGGGUUCGCUCACGCACUGACCGCAGGAACCGUGAACCACCAAAGCGUUUUAUGAGACGCAGGGUAUCUUUUUCAUGUUUCUAUUGAGAUUUUUUAAUCAGGAUUUUGGCUAAUGGUCUCUGUUCAUAUUGAUUUUUAGAAUGAUUUACGGGUUAUAGACGUAGGCAGAUAGACCUUUUACCUAGUGUGCUUUAUCAUAAGGAUUUCCUUGCUAGUAGUAAUAUCCUGAUUCAGCCAGUUUAAAAUGCAUAAUUCUGAGUUAACCUAAGAGAAAGGGGGGAGGGGUGGUGCGGAGGAAAGAGGAAAAAAAGGAGACAGUGUUGUGCCUCUGUGUGGUAGCUUUUUCCUUUGUUUUACGAGAACUAAAAGCCCAAAUUGAGGAUGUGUUUUUGGUCUUGGGAUAAUUGCUGUGUGAUAUCUGUAGCAUUUGAAAAAUGGUUAAGCUUGUCAGUUUUAUAUGGUCUUCGUUUGUGCUCGCGUACUUGAAAAUUUUCUUCAUUGGCUCUUAUAUUUUUUUUUCUUUUUUUUCCCUUUUUCUUUUCAGGAUGAUUUGCCAAAGCCUGGUCAGCCUGGUCAAGCGCCACGCCCAGCCAUUGGAGUUCCAGUUCGCCCAUGAAGUCUAUUCCCAUUCUUAAUCUGUUAUUAUACUUUUAGAUACCCAGAAGAACUUGAAUUUUGUGUAGGAAGUUUCAAUGUUUCCCGCUCAUUCGUUUUCAAAGUCUUAAGAAUUAUUGUUAAAUUUUUAGGAUUUUUAAUUUCAAUGAGAAUUAUAAAAUUUUGUAGUGGUAGGAAUUCAUUUCAGUAUAUUGAGAACGUAUUUCACACUUGGUCCAUUAAGUUUGAUAGGCUCUAGUUUUUUACCCUUUUAAGGUUAUCAAGUCAAGCUUACUGUCACACCAAGGUUAAGGUGAAAUUCGGAAUCUUCAUCUUAAGGGACCUUUGGAAUUAACAUGUUUUCAAGUUGGAAAAAUUAGCUGCAAAAUAAGUUAAUUAUAAACAUUUAUACAUAUUUAAUGAGUUUCUUAAUUUUAUGUUACUUAGCUAAUUUAGGAGUUUUAAUAUUUGAGUUUCAACUUGACUCUUAAUAUUAUAUAACUCAUUAUGAUGAACUUCAUAACUCGUGAAAUUUUUAAUUUACCAUUUAAUAAAUAAAUGUUACAUCAGUUGGAAUUUAAAAGAAAUUAAGAUACGAAAUAGGUAAAAUGUUGUUGAUUUUUAUUUGGAGUAAAAUUGUCGUUUAUAGUUUUAUGGGAGAUAACAUUUUGUACAAUCUUUACUCCACAGUGAAAAUUAAAUGACUUGUCAUUUAUAGAUGUAAGACAUAUUAGAUAAUGUUUAAGGAUCUUGUAUGAUGUAUCAUUUAUAUUUUUGAACGUGAAUCCUCUUCAAAUCUUUUUUCUAUACUAGCCUCUCUUAAUAAAAUGAGUAGUCUUGACUCUUGAAAUUUUUUUAAAUUUUAAUGUUAAUAAUUAAGGCAGACUUGUUUCACUUUGUUUACAAUUAAGUCAAUUUUUUUUAAAACUAGAAUUGGAAUAUUGAGAGAGACUAUGAGAGGAAAAAAAAAAGACUAGGAAAGAAUUCUAAGUCUAUAUUUUCAGCUAUGAUGAAUUGAUAUGUAUUGAUUUAUUUAAACAAAAUUAAUUUAAAUUUAAUUAUGUUAUAUUAGUUAAUCGGUGAUAAUUGCGUCAAAGUAUACCUUGUAUGAAACUAUAUUAAAAUCAAAUCAUAAUUUUUUACUGAAACUCAGGAAUCGGUUUCUUCCAAGUCAAUAUAAUUAAAAGAAAAAUGAUAAACAAACUAAAGAAAGACUAAAGGACGAUAGAAACGGUGGCGUGAGCUUGUUGUUUCAUGCGUUCCCUUAGGCCAAUUUAUAAAUGCAUGGGACCACAAUAAAUAAUAAAAUAAAGAAUAAAAAAAUGAAAAAGCAGCUCAAAUUUUUUCCUUUUAGUUUUAUCUUUUUCCUUAUACGUUAUCUAGCAAUAUCUCCUCCCUCCCCAGCCACUCAUUUUCUUCGUUUGGAAACGGUAGCACUUCGUUAACUUCGUCCCCUCCUUUCGUUCCUUUUGUUAACUUCAUCCCCAUCACUCCCUUCGUUCCCUUCGUUACCGGAUGACGACCGCUUCUUGUUCUCGCCCAACCGCUUUUUUUUUUUUUCUUUUGAUUUGUAACUUCAUGCUUAGUGAAGUUAAAUGUGCAUAUGACUCGCUUGAAUACUAAAUUAGCAAUACAUAAAGUACAGAUUAUGGGUAAUUAAUUUAUGCUUAAAACAAUACAAAAGUAUAGCCAACCCCUUUGCUCCCUGCCAAAAAUAGCAUUAAAAAUUCCAUGUACUAUUCAACGCAAAAUCACAUGUCAUAUAUUUUCUUUUUGAUGAACUUGGUUUCCUUGAAUCUUCUCAAAUUGAAGAAAGGGGUGAAAAAGGGAAUUGAGGCGACAAAUGUCCUCAACUAUCCACAUAUUCUAAACCAAAUAUGAUUGCAUAUCAAUAUAUAGUUAAUAAACCCCUAUAUUUGCCUUUGUUUGCAGAUCCAGAUCUAACUUCUUCCUUAUGGCCCUUUUUUUUUUUUUGGUUGCUGAAAUUGAGCAGUUGGAAAUACAGAAAUUAAUAAGCGAGAUGCAGAGAGAUAGAGAGGACAUGAAACUGAUUUGUCUUUGUUAAAUGCAAAAUAUGGCUCACGUUAAAUGCACAACUAAAAGAGAGGUGAGAGAUGCAGAGAGAGAGAGGACAAAAAAAAUUGAUUGUUAAAUGCUUUAUUGGCUCACGCGCCAUGCUCAAUUUAAUUUUUUAAACUGAUUGUGGGCCCAAUUUGGAAUUCACGCGUGCUCAUUUUCUAAAGAGAGAGAGGACACGAAACAUUUCUGUCUUCUUUUUGUCUUCCUUAAGUCUAAAUAGCAGCACUUUAAUUAAAAUCAUUUUAAUCCACCCUUUUCAUAAUUCAUUGCGUCCUUCGUUCCGUAUCAUAAUUUUUUACUGAAACUCAGGAAUCGGUUUCUUCCAAGUCAAUAUAAUUAAAAUCAUUUUAAUCCACCCUUUUCAUAAUUCAUUGCGGCCUUCGUUCCGUUCAAAAUCUUGCAGAAAAAUGAUAAACAAACUAAAGAAAGACUAAAGGACGAUAGAAACGGUGGCGUGAGCUUGUUGUUUCAUGCGUUCCCUUAGGCCAAUUUAUAAAUGCAUGGGACCACAAUAAAUAAUAAAAUAAAGAAUAAAAAAAUGAAAAAGCAGCUCAAAUUUUUUCCUUUUAGUUUUAUCUUUUUCCUUAUACGUUAUCUAGCAAUAUCUCCUCCCUCCCCAGCCACUCAUUUUCUUCGUUUGGAAACGGUAGCACUUCGUUAACUUCGUCCCCUCCUUUCGUUCCUUUUGUUAACUUCAUCCCCAUCACUCCCUUCGUUCCCUUCGUUACCGGAUGACGACCGCUUCUUGUUCUCGCCCAACCGCUUUUUUUUUUUUUCUUUUGAUUUGUAACUUCAUGCUUAGUGAAGUUAAAUGUGCAUAUGACUCGCUUGAAUACUAAAUUAGCAAUACAUAAAGUACAGAUUAUGGGUAAUUAAUUUAUGCUUAAAACAAUACAAAAGUAUAGCCAACCCCUUUGCUCCCUGCCAAAAAUAGCAUUAAAAAUUCCAUGUACUAUUCAACGCAAAAUCACAUGUCAUAUAUUUUCUUUUUGAUGAACUUGGUUUCCUUGAAUCUUCUCAAAUUGAAGAAAGGGGUGAAAAAGGGAAUUGAGGCGACAAAUGUCCUCAACUAUCCACAUAUUCUAAACCAAAUAUGAUUGCAUAUCAAUAUAUAGUUAAUAAACCCCUAUAUUUGCCUUUGUUUGCAGAUCCAGAUCUAACUUCUUCCUUAUGGCCCUUUUUUUUUUUUUGGUUGCUGAAAUUGAGCAGUUGGAAAUACAGAAAUUAAUAAGCGAGAUGCAGAGAGAUAGAGAGGACAUGAAACUGAUUUGUCUUUGUUAAAUGCAAAAUAUGGCUCACGUUAAAUGCACAACUAAAAGAGAGGUGAGAGAUGCAGAGAGAGAGAGGACAAAAAAAAUUGAUUGUUAAAUGCUUUAUUGGCUCACGCGCCAUGCUCAAUUUAAUUUUUUAAACUGAUUGUGGGCCCAAUUUGGAAUUCACGCGUGCUCAUUUUCUAAAGAGAGAGAGGACACGAAACAUUUCUGUCUUCUUUUUGUCUUCCUUAAGUCUAAAUAGCAGCACUUUAAUUAAAAUCAUUUUAAUCCACCCUUUUCAUAAUUCAUUGCGUCCUUCGUUCCGUUCAAAAUCUUGCAGUUGGCCAAAAAAAAAAAAAACCCUUGGGUGCAUAUGGGCAAUAACUCCUGUGUGCGGAGACGCAAUUACAUCGCUAAAUUCUGAGUACUUCUGGAAAAGCUAGGCAUGGCUUCUGUUGCCAGUCUUGUCCAUACCGACAUUACUUAGCCUAUGUUUUCUGGUAGCCCUGAAGUUCCUUGGUGAUCCUGAUGCAUACUACCAUGGGACAAUUUGUCUUGAUUGCAUUGGAAGCAAUGUGUCACCUACUUGCUACGUAUCCCUCCUGCAAUAGUCACUAGGCAUGGUCAUACAAGGAAAUGCAGAAUGGAGCUGUGGACAUUGUUUCUUUAUGCCCAGUUGAGGGAAGAAUAAUUGCCUUAUUUUACAGCUUUCCCAAGAUAUAAAUCCUUCAUAUGACACAAAGGCUUGGUAUGUAAUAAACAUUGUUGAUGCUGAAAUUAGGUCGCCCUUUGCCCGACCAGAUCGAAUCACCAACGUUUGUGUCGAGGAUGAUGAGAAGGCUAUGCUUCACAAGCUUCUGCACUUUUCCAAGCUCCUAAAACUUAAAUGACUUAUCUUCUUCCUUCCUCACCUGCAUUCACAAAAACAAAUCAGAGACGCCGGUGGUUUUUACGGCGUAAACCCUCUGAUGCUUAAGUCAGUACAAGGUGUUUGCGGGAAAACAGUACGAUUCAAGUUGCACAGAUUAACUGCAAUAUUCUUAACACCAAAUAUGUUAAGGAUUUGUACAAAAUAAAUUUUGGUAUUAAUUUGGUAGAGUUUCCCAUUUUCUCUCAAUUUUUGUCCCUUUUUUUUCAUUGAUUUCUCAGUUUCUUGUAGGCAAUCAUCCCACGUUCUCUGAGUAUUUUUCAUGCCUGUCAUAUUCAGGUGAUCAUGGACCUUCAUGGGUCUUCAACCACCGAAUGUGGGCAAACGUGGGUAAACGCGUUCUCCCCUGUGGUUUGGGGCAUGGCGAAACUGUCGUGUGUUCGUGAGAUUGUGUCCUCUUUCUUUUAGUGACGAGUACUUGGUCGGUAUUCACUUCUGGUCGGCUCGUGCUCCAUAAAAAAUACACGACUAGGAAUCUGCUCGUUAUCCUCAGUUAGGUAAACUCGCCAUCGGCUAAGAAAUGGGGAGAUGUCUGACUGAUACUUUUUAUUACUCAACAAACACUUUAAAGAGUCUACUGCAAGAAUACCUUUUGCAUGGUGCUCAUCAUGGUCUCUAAGGAAGGAGAAUUAAUCUUUGCACGGCUUGCCAGCUAAUGAAGUUAGAAAAAUCACCAACUACAUGGAAUUUCAACACAACAAUGCAGAAUAAAUGACAGAAGAAUAGUUUUGUCAUUUAACAAACCGAAGAAAUUAACGAAAGUCAAGGACCUCAUCCAGUUUGAUGUAUCCAAAUUGCAAUCUGGGGUCACUUUCAUCUGUCAUCCGUGAUAAAUUUUUUCCCAAAUCAGUUCAUGUGCCAUUACCAACCCAUCCCACUUCUCAUCUUCGAAUCUUUUUUCUCUACUAGCUUCUCUUAAUAAAAUGAGUAGUCUUGACUCUUGAAUUUUUUGAAUUUUAAUGUUAAUAAUUUAGGUUUCACUUUGUUUACAAUUAAGUUAAUUUUUUUUUAAACUAGAAUUGGAAUAUUGAGAGAGACUACGAGAGGGAAAAAAAAAGACUAGGAAAGAAUCCUAAGUCUAUAUUUUCAGCUAUGAUGUGUAUUGAUUUAUUUAAAGAAAAUGAAUUUAAAUUUAAUUAUGUUAUAUUAGUUAAUCGGUGAUAAUUGCAUCAAAGUAUACCUUGUAUGAAACUAUAUUAAAAUCAAUUCAUAAUUUUUGACUGAAACUCAGGAAUCGGUUUCUUCCAAGUCAAUAUAAUUAAAAUCAUUUUAAUCCACCCUUUUCAUAAUUCAUUGCGGCCUUCGUUCCGUUCGUCCAAAAUCUUGCAGUUGGCCAAAAAAAAAAUCCCUUGGGUGCAUAUGGGCAAUCAACUCCUGCCUACGGAGACGCAGUUACAUCGCUAGGCAUGGCUUCUGCUGCCAGUCUUGUCCAUACCAACAUCACUUAGCCUAUGUUUUCUGGCAGCCCUGCAGUUCCUUGGCGAUCCUGAUGCAUACUACCAUGGGACAAUUUGUCUUGAUUGAAUUGGAAGCAAUGUGUGACCUGCUUGCUACGUAUCCCUCCUGCAAUAGUCACUAGGCAUGGUCAUACAAGGAAAUGCAGAAUGGAGCUGUGGACAUCGUUUCUUUAUGCCCAGUUGAGGGAAGAAUAGCUGCCUUAUUUUACAGCUUUCCCAAGAUAUCAAUCCUUCAUAUGACACAAAGGCUUGGUAUGUAAUAAACACUUUAAACUGCUGUACGGCCAAGGCGGAUGUACGGUACAGCAGACUCAGGAAUCGGUUUCUUCCAAGUCAAUAUAAUUAAAAUCAUUUUAAUCCACCCUUUUCAUAAUUCAUUGCGGCCUUCGUUCCGUUCGUCCAAAAUCUUGCAGUUGGCCAAAAAAAAAAUCCCUUGGGUGCAUAUGGGCAAUCAACUCCUGCCUACGGAGACGCAGUUACAUCGCUAGGCAUGGCUUCUGCUGCCAGUCUUGUCCAUACAUCCAGUUUGAUGUAUCCAAAUGGCAAUCUGGGGUCACUUUCAUCUGUCAUCCGUGAUAAAAUUUUUCCCAGAUCAGUUCAUGUGCCAUUACCAAGCCAUCCCACUUCUCAGCUGAAUUUAAUUUCUGUGAUGUGUGUAACAUCAUGAAGAGGGCCCGUCCAUAGGGGCUCAUGGAACCACCAGUGAGCCAGAGCCCUGGAAGAACUAACAGAAUUAGAACGUCCUCCAGCUAUAAAUUGAACUGAGUUUGGUGCAUUGUUCAAUCCAUUUUAUUUAGUGAUUAGAGUUCUAGUUUGUUGUGGUAUAUGUAAAUGCUUUUGUUGUCAUCUUUAUCAUAAGAUGGCUUUUAUCUAUUUAUUUAUGUUAUGAUGAUUUUUAGAGAUUAUUUGAUUGAAUUAUUUUUUUUAAUCUUUAUUUCAUAAUAUAUAUAUUUUAGAACUGCUCCUUUGUGUGUAUAUAUAUAUAUACACACACCAAAAAUUUUAGAAUUUCUUAAGUUUACAUAUGUUCAAAAGAAUUGUGAUAUUUUUUACAUUUAUACUAAAAUAUAAUUGAUGUAAAAAAUUAUAAAAUUUACAACAUCUAUUUUAUCAUUUUUCUAAGUACUAAUUAAUAUUUUGUCCCAACUUGUAAUUUAAAUUUUUAACCAAAAGAAUUAAUAUAAUACAAUGCAAUGCAACACCAAAGAUAAGAUAAAUAAAAAUUAAUAUAGUACAAUAUAGUACCAAAUAUUAUAUAGCAUUAAUAUAAUACAAUGUUAACAUAAUACAGUCAAAAGCAACUUACCAAACGUUAAAUAAUACAAUGUAAUAUAACAUGUCAAACUCACCUUUACGAUGCAUUCUUCUAUAGACUCGUGAGGUAGUAAAAGUGGUCCAGCAGGGUAUAAACGCAUUGUUUCCUUGAUAAUGGCCUGCAAGUAAACCAAAUUCCUCGUCUGAUUCAUUCACUUGCCUUUCAGUGCCAACCUGAAUGUCUAAUUCGUCUUGUGCCUUCUUCAGAACAUCGGGAUUGUUCAGAAGCAAAGCAAUAGCCCAUGUCAAUGUAACUGCUGUGGUGUCUGUAGCCGCUACGAUUAGAGUCUGCAAAUUAAAAGCAGUAAGAAAUCUGUGACAUUCCUAUAACAAUGCAAACACAAACACACCACAAGCUUUUCAUGAGGUUAUAUUAUACCAAGCAGAUUGCUUUAAUGACAGUGUCAGCAUCGCGAUCAGGAAGCUGCUCUGCAUUAUCAUCAAGUAGCGACAACAACACAUAUAUGAAAUCCUCGUCGCCCUUGAUUUCACCAGAAACUCUUUUCAUCUUGUGCUCAUCCACCCAUUCUUGCAAAAUGAUGUCAAAAUAUUUAGCUGUCUUGCUCAUUAAUCUCUCAUAUCCACCGAUAUCUAACCGUCUCAGAAAUGGCAACGCAUCGGACACCACGAACUGACCAAACAAGGCAGCGAUCUUUGUUAUUUGCUGUUGCCAAUCAUUAGCCUCUUCUGAUUGUGAAGUGUGACGUUUUCCGGCAAUUAUUCUCAAAAUAAUGUCAAGUGCUGUGCCCUCGAGCCAAUGGAUCAUCUCCACCGAAACUACUUUACGUGAACUGCUGCUACUUAUGCAAUUCUUGUAUAACCUCUGGAUUGAAGCCUUCACUUCCGAUUCACGUACGUGUUUGAGCUUCUCAAGGCGACGAUUUGACAGAAGCUCAAUUGUCACUAUCUUACGUGACUGACGCCAGUAGUUGCCAUAUGGCGCGAAGCCUAUGACCAAAAAGUUGUACCCCAUAAGCUCUACGGCCAUUGUUUUGGGGCGACCUGCAAAAGCUUUGUCAUUUGUGGUAAAACACUCCUUUGCAAUUUCCCAGUUGCUCACCACUAAAGCUUGUUUCACCCCCCACUUCAUAGUGAAUAUUGUUCCAUAUUUGUCAGCCAGGUUGCCUAAAUAUUCACUAUGAAGUUGGGGGUGAAACAGGCUUUAGUGGUGAGCAACUGGGAAAUUGCUAAGGAGUGUUUUACCACAAAUGACAAAGCUUUUGCAAGUCGCCCCAAAAGAAUGGCCGUAGAGCUUAUGGGGUACAACUUUUCGGUCAUAGGCUUCGCACCAUAUGGCAAGUACUGGCGUCAGUCACGUAAGAUCCUAAGGCUGAAAUUGCUACAGCAGCAGUUGAUUCUGUUGAAAGAUUAUUCAUGGCCAUUCCUUUGCAGCCGACUCGGGGACUCUGAAUGAAGAGUUUAGUUCAGAGCAAUGUCUAUACAGUAUAUAGAUAACAUUCAAGUGUGCUUGACGUGAACGCAAGUUCUGCUCAUUGACAAACCUUUGCUAAUCCUAUGGUCAGUUUUAUACAUCAGGGACCACAAUGGCCAAGUUUUCGACAAUGGUAUCUUUUUCUGAUUCAUCAAUGACUUUAUACGGCCAAUUUGGUGGUUGCCAAACAAUUGUGAUAAAACAUAAAUACGACUUCUCUUGUAAUUUUAACCGUUAAAAUGGUUGAAGAUUAUGUUGGGAUAUGAUAUUUUUAUGGGAGGACUUGGUAAACUCCAUGUGCUAUAAAUAUCAGCCACAGAACACGGCACUUGUUUUAUUUUAUAGCCUGUUUGGGAGUGUGGUGAGAUAACUGGGUUCUCAAAGUCCAGCUAUUAAAGUGUUUGGUAAAAUUUAUAGUUGGGAUUUGGCAGCUUAGUAAAAUUUUUUUUCUAACUUUUAUUUCACAACUCUAACUUUUACUCCAUAACAAAUACAGCUUAAAAGCUACAUUACGUUACUUCCAAACACACCCUUAAUUAUGAAAAAUUGUCUGGGAUGACAAAAGUGCAUGGUCUUGAAUAUCAUGGGUCAGGAAGCGUAAACCAAACUACGGGGUCAGCAACACAAAUAAAAAUUGAUCUUUUGUCCAUCAAUUAAACAGUUUUAUCACUUGGGUCCACUCAGCUUUUUGUCAUUGCGAAAAUUCUAUUAAAUACCAAUUUUUUUUCACCCUUAGAUUUUUGUCCCUACCACUAUAUUACAACAAAUAAUAAUAAUAAUAAUAAUAAUAAUAAUAAUAAUAAUAAUAAUAAUUGUUUUAAUAUUUAGAAAAAGUCAUUUUGAACAUUAAUUAUUGAUAUCUUAUGAGUAUAAUAAGGUUUAGAAAAAGAUACAAAUAGUUAAAAAUAAAAAAACUUGAGGGACUUAAAUAUUAUUUCUUUAAAUAGAAAUCAUCGGUUAAUGUUUUUAAUAAUAAACAAUUAAAUUUGACUGAUGAUAUUCAAAUUCUUUUUAUUUUUUAUUCAGUCUAUUUCUUAAUCACCCCAUCAUUGAGUUUAAAAUACUUUUUCUUCCCCAAUAAAAUUUCCAUAAUUCUAAAUUUUCCCUCAUUUUCAGCUCUAUCAUUUUUCAAUCACCCAAUUUUUUACACUUUUAAAACUCCUUAACCAUGCCGGGCUCAAAAUCUCGAUGUAAUAUAAAUCAAGCAAGUGAAAUUCAAUCAAUUGUGUGAAACGGUUGGAGUGAUUGGAGAGGUAUCCAAGCAAAAGCCAUUAUCCAAGUAUGAAAAUCCAAAAUCAAUUAUUCCAAAAGGGUGUUAACAAGUUCUUGGAAUCUCUUAUUUGUGUUUCUUAAUAUAGACGUAUGAUUAGAGAGAUUUGGCUUUGUUAACAAAUUCAUCACAUACGGUAUAUAUAUGACAUGUCGUUUAUAGUUUUAUGGCAGACAACAUUUUGUAUAAUCUUUACUCGAGAGUGAAAAUUGAAUGACUUGUUCUUUAUAAACGUAAUGACAUAUCAGAUAAUGUUUAAAGAUCUUGUAUAAUGUAUCAUUUAUAUCUUCGAAUGUGAACCCUCUUCAAAUCUUUUUUCUCUACUAGUCUCUCCUAAGAAAAUGAGUAGUCAAGAUUGACUCUUGAAUUUUUGAAUUUUAAUGUUAAUAAUUUAGGCAGACUUGUUUCACUUUGUUUAUCAUUAAGUCAAUUUUUUUAAAACUAGAAUUGAAAUACUGAGAGAGAUUAAGAGAGAAAAAAAUGGACUAGGAAAGAAUCCGAAAUGAGAUUCAUUUUGGAGGACCCCACAGCAAUUUGAGAAUCAGUAUGGGAAUCUGAUUCUCAUUCCCAACAUUUUCCAUUUUGCCCGCAUUAAUUUUUUUUAUUCCAAAAAUACCCUCACUUUAGAUAAAAAAUAAAAAAAUCCCUAAACUUAAACUCUCUUGCCCAUGCCUCCCAAUCAAAUGCCAUUGGAGUGCUUCGAUUGCCAUCAUGGCCAUCACCAUCUUUGCCAUCAUGGUUCGUCGGUUGUGGACAGCUACUAGUUGCUAGUUUCAUAUAUAGGGUGGGCAAAUUAGAUUUCGGUUCGGGUUGUUCGGGUUUCGGUUUGGGUUUCAACCCAUUCGGUUUGGAAGAUUCAACCCAAUCGGGUUCAAACUACAAACCCGAACCAAAUUAAACCAAAUUUAAUUCGAUUUGAUUUGGUUUGGGUUAUAAAUUCGAGUUCGUUUAUAUUAUGUAACCAUAAUUUUAUCUCAUCCAAAAAAUGAAAAAAAUUAACUAAACAUCACACAAAUUUCCUAUAAUCUUAUUUAAAAAUUAACUGAUUAAUGUAUAGAAAUCUAAAUUUAACAUUUAACAAAAAAACAACAAUUAACAAAAGAAAACUAAGAAAUUAACUAACAAUUAAAAAUAAAUUAUUAAACAAUUAAUUAAUGGAGAUCAAAAAAUGCAGAAGAAUUAUUUGGCAAUGGAGGAAGAUAAUAAGAAGAAGAAGAAGAUGAUGAUGAUGAUGAUUGGCAAUAGCUGAAGGAAAGAAGAAGAAAAAGAAGAAGAUGUCUGGCAGUGUGUACGGAAAUAAGAAGAAGAAAAAGAGAAGAAAAAGAAAAGAAGAAGAUGACAUUUGUCAGUGGAGGAAAAAAAGGAAAAGAAGAAGAAGAAAGAGAAAAGAAGAUGAAGAAGAAGAAGUGGAAAAGUCAAGUGGCGGAUCAGAAAGUGAGAAGUGUGUGUUUGGGAGUUGUUAGGUUAGGGUUGGGUUUAUGUUUAUGUUUAUGAUUUUAAAUUUUUUUGACCCAAUCGGGUUUAGAUUUUUAACCCAAAUGAGUUGUAAGUUUCAACCCGAACCGAACCAAAAUCGAAAUAAAUUUUGAGUUCGGUUUGGAUCGGGUCAACCCGAUCCAAACGCCCACCCCUUUCAUAUCCGUUGGGCCGUGUCAAUUUCGUCGUUGUCUUAAUUUCGCCCCCAUCUCAUUUUAUCUUAGAUUUCGCCUCUGAUGGUGGUAGUUCUGAUAUGAUGAUGCUGCUGCUGCUAAUGACGAUGAUUGUUGUUGCCGUUGUUGUUGAUGACGAUGACAAUUUCGAUUUUGAUUAUUGCUAUAAUUUUUUUUGGGAAAUGGAUUAUUUUUUUUUGACGAUGAUUAUUUGGGAAAUGGAUUAAUUUGAUGAUGAUUAUUAUUAUUAUUUUGAAAAAGGAUUAUUUUGUUGAUGAUGAUGAUAUUUUAUUUUUAUUAUUAUUAUUAUGAUUAUUGUUAUUAAUUUUAUUAUUAUUAAUAAUAAUAAAUUUUAAUUAAUUAAUAUACUAACAACAUAUGAAUAUAACUAAUUAAUUUAUUAACAGAAAUUUUAUUAUUAAUAAUAAUAAUCAACAUCAUUAUCAUCAUCAUCAUCAUCAUCAUAAUAAUAAAUAGUUAUUAUUAUAAUUAACUAAGGGUACUUUAGUUACUUGAAAUAAUUUAACUUAUUAUGAUUCUGAUUCCAAGAGAAAAUAUAAACAUAUCAAUGAGAUUUCAACCCAUUGUGAUUCCGAUUCUUGUCUCAAAUAAACAAUAUAGUAUGAUUCUCAUUCCCCAUUCCCAUUUCACCUCAUUCCCAUAAGUGAUUAGGGUUCUAGUAUGUUGUGGUAUUUGUAAAAAAAAUUUGUUGUGAUCUUUAUUAUGAGAUGGCUUUAUCUAUUUAUUUAUGUUAUGAUAAUUUUUAAAGGUUAUUUGAUUGAAUUAUUUUCUUGGAUCUUUAUUUCACAAGAUAAAUAUUUGAGAACUGCUCAUACACACACACACACCAAAAAUUGUAGAAUUUCUUAAUUUUACAUACGUUCAAAAGAAUUAUGAUAUUUUUUACAUUUAUACUAAAAAUAAUUUAUGUAAAAAAUUAUAAAAUUCAGAACAUCUAUUUUAUCAUUUUUCUAAGUACUAAUUAAUUUUUUUCCCAACUUAUAAUUUAAAAUUUUUACCAAAAGAAUUAAUAUAAUGCAAUGCAAUGCAACACAAAAUAUAGGAUACAUAAAAAUUAAUAUAGUACAAAAUAAUACCAAAUAUUAUACACUAUUAACACAAUAUAUAUAAUGUUAAUAUAAUACAGUCAAAAGCAACUUACUAAACGUUCAAUAAUACAAGAUAGUAUAAUAUGCCAAACUCACCUUUAACAUAUGCAGUGUGCUAAACGCACAGUGAUGACACCCAAUGAUAUAAACGCACCUUAGUUGUUGAAAAGUACAACUUAAUUAUUUCCAUUAACAAGUACACAAGCUAAUUUUAACCAUAUAAAGAAGCAGAAAGGCGCGGACUAACAAGCACUUCAAGCGGAGUAGCCUUAGCAAUGGUUAGGCCCAUUGCCUCUCCCAUGUCAACCGGUUCAUCUGAUGGGGUUGUAAAAUCAAACCCAUGCACUAAUGAAGCAAGCAUUAGUUGCAUAACUUGGAGGCCAAAUGACACUGCAGGACACAUUCUUCUUCCACUCCCAAAUGGUAUCAAUUCAAAAUCUUGUCCCCCAACAUCAAUAUCCUUAUGCCUAGUAAGAAAUCUUUCUGGCUGAAAUUGACAUGGCUCCUCCCAAACACAUGGAUCGCGUUGAAUCUUCCAGGCGUUAACAAACAGUUGGGUGCCUGCAGGGACGAGGUAACCAUUGACGAUGCAUUCUUCUAUAGACUCGUGAGGUAGUAAAAGUGGUCCAGCAGGGUAUAAACGCAUUGUUUCCUUGAUAAUGGCCUGCAAGUAAACCAAAUUCCUCAUGUCUGAUUCAUUCACUUGCCUUUCAGUGCCAACCUGAAUGUCUAAUUCGUCUUGUGCCUUCUUCAGAACAUCG